AUUCAAUGUUGGAUUUAUCACCGUGGACAUGUUGUACAAAGUAUCCGAAAAGACACUGAAGAUCCAGGCCGCACUACAAAUCUUCUGAAGGGGCCACGGUCGCACGGAAGCCCUGCCUGCAAUGGCGCAAAUGUUAGCUUCCCGUCAAAACAAAUCCAGAGGGCAGUUCUGAGGCGGUGAGGCUGGGGGAGACGGGAGGACUGAGAGGGGAACUGGGAGCAGUCACUGCGGGAGGAGAGAGAUAAGAACAGAGGGAGAGAGAAACGUGGCGGGAGUUUGCAGAGUAGAACGCAGCAGUGCAACCGACAAAGCGAGGGUAGAAGAAGACAGCGGGCAGCGAUGUGAUCUGAAAACAACACAUCAAGCAGUCGCGGCGAUGGACCUCGUGUCACAGAUCGAGCCCGACCUGAAAUCCAAUCCACUGGUUUUCUCUACGACUACUCGGCUCCCCACUCUCAUCCUCCUCCAAAACAUUCAGCGUGUCUGAUGGUAUCGGGUCCUCUGCUGACAUCAUGGUUGAAGGAGUGGGUGCCAGACACCACUGACACAGGGCUCUCAAACAUAUAUAACAAGCACCGGCCCUCUUCAAAAGACGGGCCCUGCGGCGAACCCUCAAAAAUAGGAACAGACCUUGGACAACCAUUACACAACCACACCUGUUGCUUCAGGCACCGAGAUGAGCCUGGGAAAGCUAUGACAUCACCAAAGGCCUCUGUGAACCUCUCCGAGCCGCGCGGGGCUCAGUGCUGCAGCGGAUGAGCGACAGGCAUUUCCUGUCUGUCUAAAACAACAAAUAACAAAGUUUGAUUAAUGUAAGAUGUGCUACGACUCAACAGACUCGUGUUCAGGAUCAUAUCGUUAUCGAUUGGUCUGUUGAUUGUUUCCUCCAUUAAUCGAUCAGUUAUAUGGUCCAUAAGAUGGUGAGUAAUGUUGAUUUGUGUUUCCCAAACCCCAAGGUGAUGUUUUGUUCUGUCCACAAACCGAAGAUAUUCUGUUUACUUUCAAAAGAGGAGCAAAGAAAUAAGAUAAGUCAUUUAACCUUUCAUCAAAACUACUUAAUACAAUUAGUGAAUAAUCAAAAUUUGUUGGUGAUUUAUAUAGCAAUCGAUUACGAAUCGAUUACUCGAUACAUUGUUGCAGCUCUACCAUGUAUACUGAAUAUUUUAUACAGAGGGAAUUUACCUUGUAGCUUAUGUGGCAGACAUCAAAACCGACAACACAUCAUUGCCCUGCCUUUUCCACAAACAGACGGCGGUUGGAGCUCAACAGUGGAGCCACGGUAAUGAAAACAUCUGUAAAAGUUUGAGGCUCACCGUCUUAUUAUUGUCCCUUUUUUUUUUUAAAUCAGAGUCCUUUAUUGUCAGUUUGAAAUUGUUUAACCCUGGAACGGACUCAGCCGAGGACAGUGAACUCAUGAUGAUGAUGUGAUUUUAAUAACAUUGAGAUGCAUGGCUAAUGUGACAGUCCUAUUUAUGCACUCAUAGUGAGGAGCAACCAAUGAUCAACGUCAAUCUAAUUCCAUGCAAUAAAUUAGAUUGUGCUGUGAUGUUUGAAACAACCCUCUGCAGCUCUUGUUCUUAUUUGUAUAUCGAAGCCUAAUUUUAAUAACUUUAAUUGCCAUGAUAGACGAGUACAAACACCAGUGCAACAGGUGAGACACAGGAGGAACUGACUUACCCUCGAGUUUCUUCUCUGUGCUGGAUGGUAGAGGCGGAGUGCACAAACUGAAGGGAAGGCAUCGGGCUGACUGGUUAUUCCCCAUGAUUUGUUUCUCAUGCAAAAAAAGAGAAGAAAUAGAAAGCCAACACAGUUUAUCUUCCACCAUCAUCUGACAUUCCAGACGGGGUCGUUGGAGGAAGUGGAGCCCUGCCGGCAAGGAAGAGCUACUUCACCGCGGCCUACACGUAAUGUCCUGACAUUCCUCGCUUUGUACAAGUCUUUGGCUAUCAUGUCACUGAUCUAACCCACAUCUCGGCUCCCGUCACGUCACAGCAGCUUGUUUUUGUCAUGACCCGCAAGGACUCUUUCUUGUGUAUCGGUUAUUGUAGUGCCUCUGAUCCCUUGUGUUUGGUUCCUGUUUUAUUUUGAAGAAGUUCCUUGUGUUUCCACACUCCCUGUUUCCCUGUCUGGUGUCUUGUUUUUCCUGUGUCUCCUGCCCCUGUGACUGUCUGCACCUGUUCCUGACCUGUCUCACCUGUGUUCUGUUUGCCCCGCCCUCCUUGUGUGUGUUAAGUCUCUGUGCUUCCCUUUGUCAGGGUUGGAUCGUCGGUUUUCCUUGUUGUCUUCCUCGGUAUGUUACUAGCGUUUUCUCCCAGUCUGUUCCGGAACUUUCUGUCCCUGUGAUUUUUCCCCUGGCUACAGUGUUCCAGUGUUUUCUUGUGUUGCUACUUGAACAGCUUUAGUUGGACUUUGGUUUUGUUUUACUUUCAGACUCUGUAAGUUUGGUUUCUUUUCAGUUGAUUAAAGACUAUUUAAAGUG